rnacentral:rRNA from 1 species
GAUGAACGCUGGCGGCGUGCUUAACACAUGCAAGUCGAACGAAGCUGUUAAAAGGAAGUCUUCGGAUGGAAUUUUAACAGACUUAGUGGCGGACGGGUGAGUAACGCGUGGAUAACCUGCCUUAUACAGGGGGACAACGGAGAGAAGUUUCCGCUAAGACCGCAUAAGACCACAGCACCGCAUGGUGCAGGGGUAAAAUAUUAAUAGGUAUAAGAUGGAUCCGCGUCCGAUUAGCUGGUUGGUGAGGUAGAGGCUCACCAAGGCAACGAUCGGUAGCCGGCCUGAGAGGGUGAACGGCCACAUUGGGACUGAGACACGGCCCAAACUCCUACGGGAGGCAGCAGUGGGGAAUAUUGGACAAUGGGGGAAACCCUGAUCCAGCGACGCCGCGUGAGUGAAGAAGUAUUUCGGUAUGUAAAGCUCUAUCAGCAGGGAAGAAAAUG